UACGGAGGGUGCGAGCGUUGUCCGGAAUCAUUGGGCGUAAAGGGUGCGUAGGUGGUGGGGUAAGUCGGAUGUGAAAUCCCGGGGCUCAACCCCGGAACUGCAUUCGAUACUGCCUUGCUCGAGUACUGGAGAGGAGACUGGAAUUUACGGUGUAGCAGUGAAAUGCGUAGAUAUCGUAAGGAAGACCAGUGGCGAAGGCGAGUCUCUGGACAGUUACUGACACUGAGGCACGAAGGCCAGGGGAGCAAACGGG
rnacentral:rRNA from 1 species